rnacentral:rRNA from 1 species
CAGCAGUCGCCGCGGUAAUACGAAGGGUGCAAGCGUUAAUCGGAAUUACUGGGCGUAAAGCGCACGCAGGCGGUUUGUUAAGUCAGAUGUGAAAUCCCCGAGCUUAACUUGGGAACUGCAUUUGAAACUGGCAAGCUAGAGUCUUGUAGAGGGGGGUAGAAUUCCAGGUGUAGCGGUGAAAUGCGUAGAGAUCUGGAGGAAUACCGGCGGCGAAGGCGGACCCCUGGACGAAGACCGACGCUCAGGUACGAAAGCGUGGGGAGCAAACAGGAUUAGAUACCCGCGUAGUCCCUGUCUCUUAUAC